CCUGGAGCCUUUUCGGUGACAUUGCGCAUGUGCAGACUUCCAUCCCUCGCCUCUCCCCUCCCCAAUACUUCCCUGGAAUGUUAAUGUAAGGCGACCAGCGGAAAAUGUUUGCUAGAUUAAGAAAACGAUAUGAACUCACCUUUCCCCCACCAGAUUCCAGAUGCUAGGAGAAAGGAGCAUGGCGGCAGAGAUCAAUCCAAGCUACCAGUGAAAAUUGCCCUCCAAGUCAUCACUGAUAACCUGCAAGGAGAACACUAUUCAUGCUUCCUUGUCAAGCCCAUGUAUCAACAAUUGUACUGUAAACUCUCAUCCCCCAAUAAAAAUAUUCAGAAAAAAUGAAUUAAAAAAA